rnacentral:lncRNA from 1 species
AGUGAACCCCGGCGCCUGCUCCCCGAGCUAGGCCGCCGGCCGCAGUGGCCGAGCCCUCGCGCCUAAGAAGCCGAGCCGGGGCCCACGCUCCGAGAGCCCGGGGUAGGCGCCGGCUCAUUCCUCACUCAGCCCUGGAGCGGCGGGAGGGCCUGGGCGCGCGGGAGCAGCCGCGCCUCGGGCGGGCAGAGGUCGGCCGCGUCUCCUUCCUGCCCGGCCGCGGGGGCCUCCUCCGCGCCGCCUCCGGUGGCUCGCAGCUGCUGGCUCUGGCGGCGGCUGCCAGAGAGGCAGCGCGCCCACGCCGCUCGGGGCUGCGGCCCGGUCCCCGUACCCUGCCUCCCCAGGCCUGGUGAGCGCAGCAGCUGCUGGGCCGACACCCGUUGGGCUCACGCCGGAGAGGAACCGGAGGGCGGGGGCGAUGGGACCCGGGCCGGCCUACCGGCCCCGGCUCGCGAGUGGGCGUCCCCGGGCGGCGGAGUGUGAGGUGCGCGCGCACGCUCCCGGCUCCGCUGCCGCCGCCCCUCCCCCACCCAGCCUGGCUGCCCGGGCUCCGGCCUCGCGCCGCUGCCGGCUCCAGCAGCCCGAAAGCGUACUGCUGCCGCCGCCGUCUGAGCGCGAAAGAAGAGAAGGUCGCCGAUCUGCGCUGCCACGAGAACUUCACCGGUGCCCAGGGCCUUGCCACCGCCAGUUCGUGGGGUUGACCCAGCGUUUGGGCGAGAGGGAGCGAGGGGUUGGGUCGCGAAGGUUUCGCUGAAAUGUAGUGUCACCGGAGUUAAUGGCUUCUGAUGGCUUAGGUUAACGUUUACUGUGAUUCUUUGGAAGUCUUGUCUUCAGCGAUAGACCGUCAGGCCCGAGGAUUCAGCAACAGGGUCUCAAACUUCCACGCAGCAGCCCAUGCUCACGUUAUUGGGCCCCCGAGGCUCGAUUAAUAGAGCACCAACAUGUGCCAUGUUACGUUUUUAAAAUAAAGUGGUGACCCUGCUCCUUCAGCUGGGCUUCCUUUCAGAGGAAUCUAGGUACCCCCGAUAUGACAGGCGUCUCUUCAUUGUUCAGUUUCUGGGGCACGUUCUAUCAUCUUCACACACCUCAUCAACCCCCUUCCCAUAAAAGAGAAAAUGGAUGAAUAAGGAGGUGCUGAAACCCAAAAAGGCGACAAUAUUGUUUACGUUCAGGCUUAAAAACAAUCUGAAUCAAUUCUGUUCUCCGUAGUAUUGAGGAGAGCCAUGUUGUGAUUAAGUGCAAAAGAUUUCCUUGCAAGAUACAUAGACUCUUGCAUCCGAUUUACUUGCAGGUUGUUUUUGUUCUAAUAUUGUCAUUCCCUGUACACAUCCUUUACUGAUGACUGGGAAUUGGAGAGGAGGCCCUUAAAUGUCAGGAGAGUAAGUCAGCCUUAGCUUAAAAAUCAAGCAGAAAAGUCUCAUGUUCAUUGGCACACUUGUAACUACAUUCCAGUCUCCCAGUCUGCAUUAUUUCUAGAAGCUCUGCAUAUCUAACUGCCUACCACAUGACAAAAGUCAUUGUCAUUGAUCCUGCUUCACCAAAUAAAAAGUAAAAAUAUUGAGGGCCACCUCUCACCAGUUCACCCAGGGAGACUGGUAAGCAAGGAGUGCCCGGUCCCUAGUGAGAUUUAUGUUGAACAUUUGUGAAGAGUAGAUAUAAGAAACUUUUAGCCUUCCCAAUAUGUCUUUAUAAAAUGUGCCAAAUUUAAGAAUAAGUCUCUAAUGUUGAGACUCCGUAAGCCAAAGUGGGGGGGGCGGUGGGGAGGCGGGGAAGAACACACUGUUUUCCUACUGUUGAGAUCAUUAGUUUCCAUGAAAAGUUCAGGGGAAAUAAAUACUGAACUCUGAAUGAAAUAGCAAGUUAUAUAAAUCUUGAAAAAUAAAUAUUACCUAGGUUAACACUAGACUUAACCACAAGAGAUUUCAAUCAUGAAACCUGACAUAACCUAGUUGACAAGUAUAGCUUAAGCAAGUAAGACCUCAUUGCUGAUGGAGAAGACCCCUUUUCCUUUGCUUGUCUGUUUUGCAAAAUUCAUUUUUCCUUCAUGAGAGUAAAAACAAUUUAGGGGUUAUUGCAGAUGUCCAAAUGCAGCCAGCAAUUUUAAAGUCAUUGAUGAUACCGUCAGUUAUCACACUCCUACACCAGCAAUGAAAAUACUGUAUACAUAGUAUUACAUAUAUCCACUCUUCUAAAGGCAAGUCUGAGUUUUUAAAGAAUCAUGUUGUUUAAAAAAAAAAAAGUUGCAAAUGUAUCCAUUAAUUAUAAUUAUAUGCACUUAAAAACAUAGAAAAAGAAUAUUUGAAAAAGAUUGCAACUAUUCUGUUAAGAUACUGGUUUUACGUAUGAUUUUCUCCAUUGUAUUCUGUUGCAUUAUAUUUACAAUUAAAUAAAAAUUAUAAAGGAACUGGUGCCUGAAAAAGUUAAGGUCAAAUUUCAAAUAGGUAGACUCGGUAGUAUCAAGAUGAACACACAGACCGGCCCAUCUGAAGGCAAUCGGCAGAAA